rnacentral:rRNA from 1 species
UACGUAGGUGGCAAGCGUUGUCCGGAUUUACUGGGCGUAAAGAGCGCGCAGGCGGUCGUUCAAGUCGCGUGUGAAAGCCCCCGGCUCAACUGGGGAGGGUCACGCGAUACUGAUCAACUCGAAGGCAGGAGAGGGAAGUGGAAUUCCCGGUGUAGUGGUGAAAUGCGUAGAUAUCGGGAGGAACACCAGUGGCGAAGGCGACUUCCUGGCCUGUUCUUGACGCUGAGGCGCGAAAGCUAGGGGAGCAAACGGGG